UUAUCCAAGUGGCCACAAGUGCCAUUUUUAUCGCAUUCACUUUGUUUCCGAUGACGGUCCAUGUAAUUUACACAAAAUCAAGCAUUUUUUACCCUAUUUAGGUCUCAACUUUCGACGCAAUUUUGCUUGUUAUAAAUACUCGACGAAAUUUCGGUAACGUGCUCUCAAAACCCCAUACGGAUGCCGAUACUAAAACUGACUCAUCUUUCACAAAAGUCCUUCGCACUGCAUGGUCUUACUUUGCUCUGCUGGUUCAACUCAACGAAUAAUUUUUUUAUUCAAAUAUUUACCGUACAACAUGGUCAAAGGACUUAAUUCGAAGUUUCCAACUUUGAACAAACUUAGGUAGACAACUUGAACUUGGUAGUGUUUAGGAGAGGGUGGGUUGCAAUGAAUAGUUGCUUCUGAUCGAUAAAUUUAUUUAAAAUAUCUACACCUUACAUGGAAGAAUAAAUAUUUCACAGAGAUAAGUUUAGUAAAAUUAGAUUUGAUUGCCAACGUGAGACUUAUACACCUACUAGUUGCCUAAUUAAAAGAAUAAACAUCACACUAGCAAUGA